rnacentral:rRNA from 1 species
UACGUAGGGUGCGAGCGUUGUCCGGAAUUACUGGGCGUAAAGAGCUCGUAGGCGGUUUGUCACGUCGUCUGUGAAAUCCUCCAGCUUAACUGGGGGCGUGCAGGCGAUACGGGCAGACUUGAGUACUACAGGGGAGACUGGAAUUCCCGGUGUAGCGGUGAAAUGCGCAGAUAUCAGGAGGAACACCGGUAGCGAAGGCGGGUCUCUGGGUAGUAACUGACGCUGAGGAGCGAAAGCAUGGGUAGCGAACAGGAUUAGAUACCCCUGUAGU